GUAUUGAACAGUGAUAUUAUUCAAGUGAUGUGCAUGAUGCAUGAACUCAUCUUGUGUAUUCUGUUGUCACAAAUAGCAACACUGUCAUUUUAAGUAAUUGUGGAAUUCAAUGCACAACAUGCAUCUAAAGCAUUUAUAUAAUGUAAUUCAUAGACCUAAGCAUCCAUCUUCCUUUUGUUUGAGUAUUGCUUUAGUCAAUGAAAUUUACACUCACUGAGCACUUUCUUCAGUGGAAACAUUCCUUUGAGAUUCUGGUCCAUGUUGACAUGAUUGCAUUACGCAAUUCCUGCAGAUUUAUGGGUGCACUUUCAUGCUGCGAAUCUCCCGUUCUACCACAUCCAAAGGGUGUUAUACUGGAUUCAGUUUUGGUGUUUGGGAAGGGCACUGAAGUACAUUGAACUCAUUGUCAUGUUCAUGAAACCAGUUUGAGACAACUUUUGCUUUGCACUGAUUGAUUGGUAUUAACCCAAAAUGUCCCAAGAAAACAUUCCCCACACCAUUAUACCACCUCCACCAGCCUGGACUGUUGACACAAGGCAGGUUGGGUUCAAUGGAUUCAUGUUGUUGAUGCCAAAUUCUGACUCUACCAUCAGUGUGCCCUUGCAGAAAUCAAGAUUCAUCAGACCAGGCUACGUCUCAAACUAAUACUCAAACCAGCCCAUUUGGCACCAGCAAUCAUGCCACAGUCAAAAACACAGAGAUCACUUUUUUCCGCAUUCUGAUGGGUGAUGUGAACAUUACUCGAAACUACUGGAUAUGACUCAUCUCAGAGCCGUCCCCACCUGGCCCUGCUUACAUGUCUGUUCCUGCUGCUCUCAGCAUUGGGUUUAGCUCUGUACUGCACACACCGCCGACGGCCCCAUCGUGCCUGUGAAGAACUACAGGCAGCACUCGCUGUCUAUCUGCUGCGGUUCAAACAAAUCCUGUGGGGCUGCUGGAUCUGGCUGACCAUGCAGUGAGCAUAACAGAUGACCAGUGGCAUCACUGUUCUCUACACAUGCUUCCAUGAGCACAGAAAGCCAGACAAUGGUACAGAACAGACUAAAGAGAUAAGAAUCAUGGUUUCAUGGAAAAACUUUGGAAUAAUGGUUACUUAAAAUAAGACCCUUUAUUUGAUGGUCCCCACACCCUGGGACUAAAAAUGCCUUCUAAAUCCACUCAUGAAAAAACAGUUAACUUUUGCGCACCAACUACAGAUGGCAUUCUUAUGCCCUUUAUGACUUUAAUGCCAUAUCCUCAUUUUUACUGAGAGGCAGAUACAUUUCAAUAUCUCUGCUUGUAGCAGUUGAGUUUAGACCACGUUUAUGUUUCUAACGAUGUCUCUUACAACCUAUUUAAAGAAUAUUCAUAUAAAAUCAUUGAAUAAAAUCUUAAUGUAUUAAAGUUAGAUUUAGGUUGAAGAAAAUUGAAAAUUAGAUUUUGAUUAUUCUUUAAAUCAAUAUAUGAAGGUCACACUCAAUCACACAGCUGCACCUAUGCUUCUCCAUAAAUGUUCUCACCUAUUUUCUUAUUUACUACAGUUUGCAGCAGUCUAUAUAGAAUGCAAAACACUAUUAUUGAUUUCACUAUUAAUACAAUAUGCUUUGAAUAAUUACACAUGUAUAUAGAAAAUAUUAAUGACUAUCACCUAAGUAAUCCAUAUUAUUGUGCACAUUGUAUUUUAAUGUACAUAGAAUCAUGAACACUCAGUACUCAGUGUAACUCUGUUACAAAUGAUUGACUAUGGUGUAAAGUUAAGCACAAUGUUUCCAUCUUUUACAUUUACUAAAAACGUGAAACAAGACAGUUUCACAGUGUAGCCAGCCAUAUUUUCUGCCAAGUCAGAUUUACUUCAUAAUUCAAUGGGCAAGGACAAUUUUUAGUUUACAAAAAUCCAAAUUAGUAUAUUUGAACUAUUUCUAUGUUCCUGUCAGUUGUGUUUAUUUUUUUGCUGUUGCAUGUAUAUAAUACUUAUUUAUUUGACUAUUUUUGUAUUUUUUUCUAUCUACUAUUUUCUAUAGUUAAUAUCAUUUUGGUUAUGUUUUUUUUUUUUUUUUUUAAAUUGAUCUCAGCAUUAGUGAUUUUAAUUAUAUCAUGAGAGUAUUUUCAAACCUUUAAAGCUAAUGGUAUAUUUCCACUUAAACCUUACAGAUAUAAAUGGGCAUUCACUACUGAUUAUGAUCAAAUGUUCAAGCAAUAAAAUGUUCUUUCUGUAAUUGAUCACAAUGACAUUAAUUAUAUGCCAAUAAUAAUGGAUGAAGCACUUUUACAAAAAUGCUAGUAAAAAUAUCCUCAUCAUAAGGGAUUAUACCAAAUACAUACCCAAUAUUCUCACUUUAUUUGAUCUAUGUAUCAUAUUUAAUCCCUUUUAAUGAAUGUUUUUCAUUUAAGAAUGAAAAAAAAAAAUUUACCUAAAAAUCUAUAACCAUUUGUUUCCAACACACUAACUGGGCCUCACCAUCAAUCAUUAAUUAGCAUUCCAUUAGCAUUUGGUCAUAAGAGUCCCUACUGCAGAUUAAUGCCGGACAUUAGAUGUGUUUCCACUCUUAUUCUUGUAGCUAACUGUACUUUAAUCAUGCUCUUUGGUAGGCGGAGUUCUGGAGCUGUACACACUAUACUUUGAGUACCAUUACAUCAUGAGCAGUGACAUGUAGGACAGAUUGCAUAAAGUUCAACACAUUCAUUACCUACUAUCAUAUGCAGAAAAAUAAAACCACUGUGAGAUAUUUGGGAGGAAAUGAAUGGCGGUCUAGGUCACAUAAAAUGUCUGAAAAUCUUUUUGCGGAAUAAUUACACUGAAUGUAUCUUUGUACAUAAUUAUGCAUAAAAAGCUAAACAGUAUACAGCGCAUGAUUGCCCGUUGUAUAGCACAGCUUAAUACUGUACAUGUGUACUGUUGUUUGAAGAAAGUUUUAACCAACUGGUUUGUACUUGAAUUUCAAAUCUUCAAGGCAAUAUUAGGCACUGUUCACUUACAAGGGAAUUGAAUAUAGAUCCUUUGAUACUUUAUUUGCUUUAUUUAUAAAGCAGUGAAGUCUCAUCAGACAGAGCACAUGCUCUCUUUAUGAUCUGGGUUUGAUUUGGUUGGGUGUGUUUCCUCUCCCUUUUUUCAUUAGUGACACUGUAUGAGUCUACUUUUAAUAGAAGUGCCUUUUUAAGGUUCUCUCCUUUCUCUCAGUUUAAAUCACACUGUAACAGGUCGUCAAUAAAAGCCAUCAAAUAAACUAUAUUGCAAACCAGAGAGAUGAUGUAUGCUACGACUUUUCAUUGGCUGAAUGUUUUAUUCACUCACUCACUUUCAAUAACUACUUUUUAUGAUCCAAAGCCUGUGAGGCAAGAAUACACCCUGGAUGGUAUGCCAUUUCAUUGCAGGGCACCAUACACACUUAUUCACUCACACCUACAGACAAUUUAUCUUAGCCAAGCCAUCUACUGGCAUGUUUUGGGCAGUGGGAGGAACCUAGAGGACAUCCAUGCAGACACAAGUUCAGGAUCGAACCAGGGAUCCUGGAGUUGUGAGGCAGCAACGCUACCCAUACUGCAUGUUUCAGGUAGAUAAAAAAAUGUUAGUUGUUAACACUAUAAUAGCAUUUA
ensembl:lncRNA